rnacentral:lncRNA from 1 species
AAGAGAAGCUGGAGGGGAAAAAGAAUAACAAGACUGCCAUGGCAAUCAGCAGUGUCUUCUUGAGAUGUUGUCUUCUUGAGAUGUUGGAAGGUGCCUGUAGCACAGCAGAUGACCAGUUGCAUCAUCAAGCCAAGUCAGCAGUGGCAGAGGCCUGUUCAGAAGAGUCAGCCACAUGUCAUGGUGGCUCAUGGCCUAAGAAGGAUUGCAAAGGCAAGGCUGGCUCGAGCACAGAGUGCUGGAAGUUGCUGUGAUUGUACUGCAGAUGUGACGUGGGGACCUGGUGUGUGUCACGACCUUUCCACGCUGGAGUUUUUGCAAAUGACAUUGGGUCCACUUGACCCAGAGUUUUUUGUUGGUGAAGCUUACUGCCGUGCUCCAGACGUGCUUCUGAAACUUUUUGCUGAGGCUCUG